CGGAGGAUCCAAGCGUUAUCCGGAAUCAUUGGGUUUAAAGGGUCCGUAGGCGGUCUUGUAAGUCAGUGGUGAAAGCCCAUCGCUCAACGGUGGAACGGCCAUUGAUACUGCAGGACUUGAAUUAUUAGGAAGUAACUAGAAUAUGUAGUGUAGCGGUGAAAUGCUUAGAUAUUACGCGGAAUACCAAUUGCGAAGGCAGGUUACUACUAAUUGAUUGACGCUGAUGGACGAAAGCGUGGGGAGCGAACAGGAUUAGAUACCCCGGUAGUCCACGCCGUAAACGAUGGAUACUAGCUGUUGGGGGCAACUUCAGUGGCUAAGCGAAAGUGAUAAGUAUCCCACCUGGGGAGUACGUUCGCAAGAAUG
rnacentral:rRNA from 1 species